GCUGCAAAGUCAACAAUGAAGACUUUUCCCAUAUUUUUGAAGUACACGCUGGCGUUUGGAUCUCCUCACAGACGGACGAUGAGUCGUACUGGUAUUGUGGACCUCUAUCAAACAAUC